AUCCGGAGUACUGCGAGACACGAGAAACCUUGCAGGAAGUCGGGGGGACCACCCCCCAAGGCUAAAUACUACUCAGUGACCGAUAGCGCAUAGUACUGUGAAGGAAAGGUGAAAAGGACCCCGGGAGGGGAGUGAAAGAGAACCUGAAACCUUGUGUUUACAAACUGUGGAACAUCCAUACGAGAUGAACCGCGUACUUUUUGUAGAACGGUCCGGCGAGUUAUUUUUACUGGCAAGGUUAAGUUCCUAAGGAACGGAGCCGAAGGGAAACCAAGUCUUAAGAGGGCGUUAAGUCAGUGGAAAUAGACCCGAAACCGGGUGAUCUAUCCAUGUCCAGGCUGAAGCGGGAGUAAAAUCCCGUGGAGGGCCGAACUCACAUCCGUUGAAAAGGGUGGGGAUGAGGUGUGGAUAGGGGAGAAAUUCCAAUCGAACCCGGAGAUAGCUGGUUCUCCUCGAAAUAGCUUUAGGGCUAGCCUCAUAUUAGUCUUGCGGAGGUAGAGCACUGAAUUUCCUAGGGGGCGUCAAAGCUUACCGAAGAAUAUCAAACUCCGAAUGCCGUGAAGAUGAUGUAUGGGAGUCAGACUGUACGAGAUAAGUUGGACAGUCAAAAGGGAAAGAGCCCAGACCAUCGGUUAAGGUCCCAAAGUGCGUGUUAAGUGGAAAAGGAUGUGGGAUUUCGAAGACAGCUAGGAUGUUGGCUCAGAAGCAGCCAUUCAUUCAAAGAGUGCGUAAUAGCUCACUAGUCGAGAGGUCCUGCGCCGAAAAUGUCCGGGGCUAAAACACGACACCGAAGCCAUGGAAUGUAUAACAUUGGUAGAGGAGCAUUCUUAUCGCGGCGAAGCAGUACCGGAAGGAGCUGUGGAGUGAUAAGAAGAGAGAAUGCCGGAAUGAGUAGCGAGAGGAAGGUGAGAAUCCUUCCGGCCGAAUAUCCAAGGUUUCCAGAGUAAAGCUGAUCUGCUCUGGGGAAGUCGGGACCUAAGGCGAGGCCGAGAGGCGUAGUCGAUGGACAACAGGUUGAAAUUCCUGUACUGUCAUGUAACAGAACUGUGGGGACGCAGGGAGGAAAGAAGAGCCGGGAAUGAAGAGACCGGUGCAAGCGAGGUAGGAGUCUGAAAGGCAAAACCGUCAGACAAUCCGAAGACGUGAUGCGCAGCGAACUGAAGUAGCGAAGCUUCGGCCCCUAACUGCCAAGAAAAGCCGCUAUUGUUUGCAUGACACCCGUACCGUAAACCGACACAGGUGGAUGAGGAGAGAAUCCUAAGGCCGACGGGAGAAGCAUUGUUAAGGAACUCGGCAAAAUGACCCCGUAACUUCGGGAGAAGGGGUGCCUCGAAAGAGGCCGCAGAGAAUUGGCCCAAGCAACUGUUUAGCAAAAACACAGGUCUAUGCAAAACCGAAAGGUGAGGUAUAUGGGCUGACGCCUGCCCGGUGCUGGAAGGUUAAGAGGAGAGCUUAGCGCAAGCGAAGGUUUGAAUUUAAGCCCCAGUAAACGGCGGCCGUAACUAUAACGGUCCUAAGGUAGCGAAAUUCCUUGUCGGGUAAGUUCCGACCCGCACGAAAGGCGUAAUGAUUUGGGCGCUGUCUCGACAAUGCACCCGGUGAAAUUGAAGUACCAGUGAAGAUGCUGGUUACCCGCGCCAGGACGGAAAGACCCCAUGGAGCUUUACUCUAGCUUGAUACUGGGAUUCGGUAUUGUCUGUACAGGAUAGGUGGGAGGCUAUGAACCGUGGACGCCAGUCUGCGGGGAGCCGCUGUUGGGAUACCACCCUUACAAUACUGGAUUUCUAACCUGCCGCCAUGACCUGGCGGAGGGACAAUGUCUGGUGGGGAGUUUGACUGGGGCGGUCGCCUCCGAAAGAGUAUCGGAGGCGCUCAAAGGUCCUCUCAGGAUGGACGGAAACCAUCCGAAGAGUGCAAAGGCAUAAGAGGGCUUGACUGUGACACCGACGGGUGGAGCAGGUACGAAAGUAGGACUUAGUGAUCCGGUGGUAGAAAGUGGGAUUGCCAUCGCUCAACGGAUAAAAGCUACCCUGGGGAUAACAGGCUUAUCACUCCCAAGAGUUCACAUCGACGGAGUGGUUUGGCACCUCGAUGUCGGCUCAUCGCAUCCUGGGGCUGUAGCAGGUCCCAAGGGUUGGGCUGUUCGCCCAUUAAAGCGGUACGCGAGCUGGGUUCAGAACGUCGUGAGACAGUUCGGUCCCUAUCCGGCGCGGGCGUAGGAUAUUUGAGAGGAGCUGUCCUUAGUACGAGAGGACCGGGAUGGACGAACCGCUGGUGGAUCGGUUGCAUUAUCAAGUGCAUGGCCGAGUAGCCAAGUUCGGAAGGGAUAAACGCUGAAGGCAUCUAAGCGUGAAGCCCCCCUCAAGAUGAGAUAUCCCAUUCUUUAAAAGAAGUAAGACCCCUUGAAGACCACGAGGUAGAUAGGGCAGAGGUGGAAGUACGGUAACGUAUGGAGCUGACUGUCACUAAUCGGUCGAGGGCUUGACCUC
rnacentral:rRNA from 1 species